rnacentral:rRNA from 3 species
CGCGCGAAGGUUCCCUCAGGCUGAUUGGAAACCAGCCGUAGAGUGUAAAGGCAUAAGGGAGCUUGACUGCGAGACCUACAAGUCGAGCAGAGACGAAAGUCGGUCUUAGUGAUCCGGCGGUUCCGCAUGGAAGGGCCAUCGCUCAACGGAUAAAAGGUACGCCGGGGAUAACAGGCUUAUCUCCCCCAAGAGUCCAUAUCGACGGGGAGGUUUGGCACCUCGAUGUCGGCUCAUCGCAUCCUGGGGCUGGAGCAGGUCCCAAGGGUUCGGCUGUUCGCCGAUUAAAGCGGUACGUGAGCUGGGUUUAAAACGUCGUGAGACAGUUUGGUCCCUAUCUGCCGUGGGCGCAGGAUAUUUGAGGGGAGCUGUCCCUAGUACGAGAGGACCGGGAUGGACGAACCUCUGGUGUACCAGUUGUCGCGCCAGCGGCACCGCUGGGUAGCUAUGUUCGGAAGGGAUAACCGCUGAAAGCAUCUAAGCGGGAAGCCCACCCCAAGAUAAGAUAUCCCCUCUCUCUCGCUUCGGCGGGAGAGGCUGAAGGCCCCUCGUAGACUACGAGGUUGAUAGGUCGGGUGUGUAAGCACAGUAAUGUGUUCAGCUAACCGAUACUAAUUGGCCGUGCGGCUUGACCAUA